ACCUGUGCAUUUUAGAACUCACCACCAUAUCAUAAUACGAAAUCCCGCUUAUCAUAUACGCUACCGGCGCAUCUUAGAGUACGCCACCAGAUUUCUGUCUUGCUGAUAUAAACUGCCCCGGUGACGGUGUCCGAUGAAAACCCUAAAUCAUGCUUAAGUCUUCCGCUGAUCUGUAUGCAUUUUUCCAGAAAGAAAUUGUUGGCUUUUUGAAGUUACAUUGGUAUUCGAUUUUAAGGAAAUUCAGGAAAUCUUUUAAAGAAAAUUAUGUUGUCAUUCUCGCAGAAGUCUUUUAAGGAUUUUCAAGAAUUAAGCGAAUGACCGAUCUGUCUAGUGGUAUUCUUCCAUCUAUAUACGCUACCGGCGCAUCUUAGAGUACUCCACCAGAGCAGCUCUUAACUGUUCCGGUGACGAUGUCCGAUCAAAAUCCUAAACCCUAAAUCAAUUUUCCCGCCAAUCUAUCUAUUGCCAUGGUGUUGUUGGACUCUCUUUUUGCAUGAGUUUAACACAGAUCUGAGCCUAACUUUCUCUGUCAGUUUAGGGAAACUAACGGUUGGGAAAAUGAACAAAGCAAAAGCUCAAAAGGGAUAGAAUGAGCCUACAGAGAGUUGAUGAUUGUUCAUUGAAUGGGUGAUUGCUUCUCUCUGUAUUCAGCCAAUAAUUUCUGUAUUACUACAGGAAAAGAAUCUAGUUGGCAACAUUCUCACAGUAGGCUCUCCACUGGCAGUCCCUCCACCAUCGCAGUGCCCCACUCUCACACUGCAGCACCUCCACCGUCGCAGCACUCCUCAAAUCCGUCCAGGUUAUGCGUUCCCAGAUAUUCUUUAUAUGUGGACUGCUCAUAUGCAGCAAAUGUCAUGUUAUGGAAAAGCAAACAACACAAGUUAUGUGUUCUACAUUUAUGGUUCUCUCGUUCUUAUUUUAUUCAUUUUUCAUCUAUAUGAAGUUUUUCAGUUAUUUACAGAUUAGUUAAAUUAUUUGUUUUGAGAAGUGAUCCUUCUUAUUUGAGAUAUUUUUUAGCUUCUUUACUUGUGCAAAUUAUCCCUCAUAACUCUUCAAAGAAAAAAUUACUGCAAAUUUUCUUUCUCAUAAAGUAUUUUUUAACUAGUUCUAAUCACCAAAUGUAUACACAAUCCAACUAAAGGUAUAUAGAGUUGCUUUAUAAGUUGUGUAGUUCUAUUGUAUUUCUAUGAUAUAAAAUUGCACACUGUUGAAUGUAUAUAUUACCAUUAUAGAGUAGUACAUAUUUGCAUGAUUCAACUAAGUUGUUAUUUUGCAUGUAAUUUGCAGGCCCCUACUUGCUCUGGGCUAUCCUCUGUAAGUCUCACUUUUCUUUCAAGUAUUCUAGUAUAUUUUUGCUUCAGCUUUUACUGGUGUUCACCAAUUCUUUCAGAUAUGCUUCAAUCUGAGCAAUUGAGACCGACUCCAAGUAUCACAUGAGGAAACUACUCACAUACUGGAUCAUCUUUUCCUUUAUUUCUCUAUUUGAGAAACAUAUCCAAUGGCACCGUAAUGUGUUCAAUCUACUCUUAAUUAGCUUCGUAUAUUAAAAGGGUCAGAAAUUUAAUGUACAACUGAUCCUGUGGAAAUAGCAACUCUGCAGAAUAUUAUUGAUUACAUUAGCUCUACUUUAUGAUAUUCGCUCUCACUUUGUAAGCAUUUAUAUAUCUCUGUCAUACUAAAUUCAAACACACAAGUUUAUGGAAAUUCUUGUGCUUGUACUUACACUUUGUUUCUGUAUCCAGGCCCUUUCAUUGACUCAUUGAAUUGUGAUGGAAUCUUUUUCAAGUGAAGGGCUUGAUUGUUAUUGACAUAUCAGUUGCAACGUUUUCACAGACACGAGAUUGGCUGCAUAGUUGUCUUCUUUAGCUCACUUGGGAGCUUAGGCUUACUUUGGGUCAGUGUCACAUACAGAGGAAUCAAGAUCUUCUCAUAGCAAAUGAUGAAGGAAGAUGUGCUUAUGAUGUCAAAUGUUGCCAUGCUUGCUGGUGGGAUAUGAAAGCCCGAGAUCAUUAUUCUUGUGUUCGUUGCAGAUCCUUGCUCGACGAAGAGAGAGCACUUGCACAAAGACAUUGGAUCCCAAGAUUGUACAAAACCAUAUUGGCAGUAGCCUUAGAACACAUUUGACCUCUUCAACUUGUGUCACAGUACAGAGUCUCCAUCGGUUAGGAAUUUCACUUUUAUCUGGUAAUAUCAGCAUGUCUGAUGGGGUUAUAACUGCAGCUCGAUCAAGAAACCUGUUCAUUCAAGUUACAAGAACAAAAAGUGUUAGGACAGACUGAAGAUAUUUUUUAUCUUUUAGACUAUUUGUAACAAAAAGUACAAAUAGGCCUCCUAAAUUGUAAUACUUUUGGAAGGGGGGCUACAUUUUGAUGUAAUAUACCUGUAAAGUUACAAGGGUGUGUCAUAUGUUCAAGUUGAUGAGAUUAAUUAGCAUUAUGGAGAAUAUCACAUAGUAUAAGAUCCUAAAACAGGGCAAGCUAAGCUUACUUGAGUCAUCUGUAUGUGAGAUUCUUCUGGUGCUGUCCUUUUCAUUCGUGUAAUCCCUCUCCAUUUAUAGGAACUGUAAGCUUUGUUUUCCUGAUAGACACGACAAUUACUGAGAGAACCUGGAAAUUGUUUUCAUUCGUACAUUUAUGUAACUGUUUGAUUGUAUUUU